ensembl:piRNA 21ur-1824 ncRNA
UUGUGAGGACAGUGGCAUGGG